rnacentral:rRNA from 1 species
GACGAACGCUGGCGGCGUGCUUAACACAUGCAAGUCGAGCGGUAAGGCCUUUCGGGGUACACGAGCGGCGAACGGGUGAGUAACACGUGGGUGAUCUGCCCUGCACUUCGGGAUAAGCCUGGGAAACUGGGUCUAAUACCGGAUAUGACCUCCUAUCGCAUGGUGGGUGGUGGAAAGAUUUAUCGGUGCAGGAUGGGCCCGCGGCCUAUCAGCUUGUUGGUGGGGUAAUGGCCUACCAAGGCGACGACGGGUAGCCGACCUGAGAGGGUGACCGGCCACACUGGGACUGAGACACGGCCCAGACUCCUACGGGAGGCAGCAGUGGGGAAUAUUGCACAAUGGGCGAAAGCCUGAUGCAGCGACGCCGCGUGAGGGAUGACGGCCUUCGGGUUGUAAACCUCUUUCAGCAGGGACGAAGCGCAAGUGACGGUAC